rnacentral:rRNA from 1 species
UACAGAGGGUGCAAGCGUUGUUCGGAAUUAUUGGGCGUAAAGAGCGUGUAGGCGGUUUGGUAGGUCCGUUGUGAAAACUCGAGGCUCAACCUCGAGACGCCGAUGGAAACCAUCAGACUAGAGUCCGGAAGAGGAGAGUGGAAUUCCUGGUGUAGCGGUGAAAUGCGCAGAUAUCAGGAAGAACACCCGUGGCUAAGGCGGCUCUCUAGUACGGUACUGACGCUGAGACGCGAAAGCGUGGGGAGCGAACAGG